rnacentral:rRNA from 1 species
AGCGAACGCUGGCGGCGUGCCUAACACAUGCAAGUCGAACGUGAACGGGGCAACCCUAGUAAAGUGGCGUACGGGUGAGUAACACGUAGGUAAUCUACCUUACAGUUCGGAAUAACCUGCCGAAAGGCGGGCUAAUACUGGAUAGAGCGACGGAAACCUUAAUGGUUUUUUCGGGAAGGGAGCUCGAUAAGAGCCUUCGCUGUAGGAUGAGCCUGCGUCUGAUUAGCUAGUUGGUAAGGUAACGGCUUACCAAGGCGAUGAUCAGUAGCUGGUCUGAGAGGAUGAUCAGCCACACUGGAACUGAGACACGGUCCAGACUCCUACGGGAGGCAGCAGUGGGGAAUCUUGCGCAAUGGGCGAAAGCCUGACGCAGCGACGCCGCGUGUGCGAUGAAGGUCUUCGGAUCGUAAAGCACUGUCGCCCGGGACAAAGAAAGUGAUGGUACCGGGAGAGGAAGCACCGGCUAACUCUGUGCCAGCAGCCGCGGUAAUGUGACG